rnacentral:piRNA from 1 species
UAUGAGUUUCUUCUCCAAAAUGAGUGA